AGAGUUUGAUCCUGGCUCAGGAUUAACGCUGGCGGCGUGCAUAACACAUGCAAGUCGAACGAUGAAGAUUAUUAGACUUCUUCGGAAUGAAAAUAAUUGGAUUAGUGGCGGACGGGUGAGUAACGCGUGAGUAACCUGCCUUACACAAGGGGAUAGCCGUUGGAAACGACGAAUAAUACCCUAUGAAACUAUCACUUCGCAUGAAGCGAUAGUCAAAGUGUUAGCGGUGUAAGAUGGACUUGCGUCUGAUUAGCUAGUUGGUGAGAAAAAAGCCCACCAAGGCAACGAUCAGUAGCCGGCUUGAGAGAGUGUACGGCCACAUUGGGACUGAGACACGGCCCAGACUCCUACGGGAGGCAGCAGUGGGGAAUUUUGCACAAUGGGGGAAACCCUGAUGCAGCGACGCCGCGUGAUUUAGAAGGCCUUCGGGUUGUAAAAAUCUUUUGUAUAGGAAGAAAAUGACAGUACUAUACGAAUAAGGUCCGGCUAAUUACGUGCCAGCAGCCGCGGUAAUACGUAAGGACCGAGCGUUGUCCGGAAUCAUUGGGCGUAAAGGGUACGUAGGCGGGUCAUUAAGUUAGAAGUCAAAGGCUAUAGCUCAACUAUAGUAAGCUUCUAAAACUGGAGACCUUGAGUAAUGGAAGGGAAAGUGGAAUUCCUAGUGUAGCGGUGGAAUGCGCAGAUAUUAGGAGGAAUACCGGUGGCGAAGGCGACUUUCUGGCCAUUAACUGACGCUGAGGUACGAAAGCGUGGGUAGCAAACAGGAUUAGAUACCCUGGUAGUCCACGCCGUAAACGAUGAGUGUUAGUGUCUGGAGUAAAUCUGGGUGCCGCAGCUAACGCAUUAAACACUCCGCCUGGGGAGUACGCACGCAAGUGUGAAACUCAAAGGAAUUGACG
rnacentral:rRNA from 1 species